GAUUGAUGGGGUCAUUUGAGUUUAUGUUAAGGGCCCAUAGCUCAGGCGGUUAGAGUGCACCCCUGAUAAGGGUGAGGUCGGUAGUUCGAAUCUACCUGGGCCCACCAUUCAAUCAGGCAAGGGGCCGUAGCUCAGCUGGGAGAGCGCCUGCUUUGCAAGCAGGAUGUCAGCGGUUCGAUCCCGCUCGGCUCCACCAAUUGCGAAUUUAUAGUUUUUUUGUUCUAGGGAUUUUUUUUAGAGCAAUAGUUUUUUGAAAAUUGAAUAGAAGGUAGAUUUUUUUGUAUUUUUUAUAUUGGCAUUGUAUGCGAUAUGGGAGGUACC
rnacentral:tRNA from 1 species